AAACCGGUGGCACAGGUUCACCAUUUGCCUUCAAAAUCCUAACUUCUUGUUUCUUUUCUUAUUUUAUGAUUUCGGGUCUCUCUUAUUAUCAUUAGAUCUUGAGUUUUUUUUUUGUUUUAAUUGUUCUUUUAGGUUUAAAUAAGUGAUUUGAAGAAGAGCUUCUAUGUUUCUUUGGCUACUUGGAAGAAACUAAAAGGUAUUAUUUCUUUGGCUACUUGGAAGAAACAAGAAGGUAAAAAUUUAGCUUUUAUUGUGUUUUUUUCUCUGCUACUUUCUUUUCUUUUAUUGGCACCAAAUAGCCUUUAUUAUAUCUACUUUAGAAAAUAUUGUGUUUAGGGUGAUCGUCACUAUAAGGUUAACUUUAUUUCGCUGAUGAACGACAUUAAACAUUUUUUACACUAAAAAUAGAAUUUAGUGAUAUUUAUGGAAUUUCAAACUGCUGUCAUAUAAAAUGUUUGUGCUGUAGGCUAAACAUAAAAUGCUCCACUUAUAAUAUAUAGCUUUCGUAUAAUCUUCAUUUGUCAGAUUUUUCUUUGGAUUUAUGUGCUCGAAUUAUGAUCAAAAUAAUGUGAGAUGUUAUUCUGGCUUGAGUGAUGAUGCAUGCUUGGACUUUACCUGUACUUCUUGGAUUGGCUGCAGUAAUUUUUUAGUACUGGGUUGUAUAAAUUAUACUGUAGCUAGCUUCCAUUGGAUGAGAAACUAAAAUAAUGUACUUGUCAAUUAAAAAUAAAAAAUAAAAAAAAAUUGUCGAAUAAUUACACAGGGAAUGAUGCAGACUUACACAGGUUCUUUUCAAUGUGAAUGGUGCAGACUUACACAGGUUCUCAACAUUGCCAUCAAAACCAUUCAAGAAUAAACAUGGCCAUUAUAUCAAAUUGGUAAGUGUCACUUAUGUGCCCGUCAUUUGGUGGUUUUUCUAAUUUGGAUUCACGUGUUCCUUUUCUAACCAACCGAACAUUGCUUCUGAUGAUUUUUGGUCUUCUUAGUUUUCCACAAAAAUAGAAAACCAAGUUCGGUCUUUCUUUCUUUAUUCGCUUUCCAUCAAGGCAUAAAUCAAAGGAGAGCGCCCAGCUUCACAAAAUGUGCAAAUAUAUAUGUAUAUAUACACGUAGUUCAAGUGAUUCUACUGAGAAAUAGUACCCAAACCCCCCUACUUAUUGAAUUUACCAUAUUCCUACCAAUCUAUACUCUCCUGGCUGUUCCUUGAGAAAUACAGAGAUUUGAGCUUGACAUACUUUUCCAAUAGGAUCCUUAAAUAUAUACAUAUAAUAAUUUAUUACUCCAGUUGUUUAUAUAUGCUAAAAUUAUUCAAACUGCAAAAUUCUAAAUUCCAGUUCCUUGUUGGUCACCCGAAGCUAUAUGCAGAAAUGGCGACUUCAUCUUGGAAAAUUUUAUUUGUAUAAUCUUUAAAAUUAUUAUUAUUAUUAUUUCAAGAACUCUAUAUUUUUACCGCAGGAGUGAUAUGUCAAUUAAGAAAAUGUGAAGGUUACGCACGCUUACACCUUUGUACAGGCUACAGCAAUUCCAAC
rnacentral:lncRNA from 1 species